rnacentral:lncRNA from 1 species
GGUAUAUUUUGUAUUCUUACAAAGGGAAUUUCUAUGUUUGAAAAACAAAACAAACAGACAAAAAUAUACUCCCCCAAAAAGAGUCAGUUUCUAUGACUAUGUGACUUUGUUUGAGGACUGAUGACUGCUAGGAAGAGAUAGGAUCCAUCCAACCAAGCUGGGAAUGAUCUUUGAACUUUGCUAAUGAACUUUACUAAUGAACUGGCCAACCUGAUGAGAACUUUAAAUUAGGAAUGACAGAGGUUGGAGAUGAUGGCCAAAAAACAAGUGAGGAAGAUCUGGACUGGACUGGACUGGACUGGACUGGACUGGAAAGCAGAGGGUGCCAGUUGAUGUGGACAGGAGAGACCUCACAGUCACCAAAGUGGGCUCACCCCAACUGUCAACACACGAAGUGCUGAUAGUCAGGGAAGCUCUUACACUUACAGAGAGCCAGGCCCUUCCAGUGUUAUAUAUUGACAUAUUAUAUAUAUAUUGACAUAUUAUGUAUAUAUUGAAGAGGCAACGGGUGCAAACUUAAACACAGGAAAUUCCAUUUAAACACAGGGAACACAUUUUGUACAGUGAAGUUGGUCAAACACAGGAGUAGGUUGCCCAGAGAGACUGUGGAAUCUCUAGCCUUAGAGAAUUCAAAACCUAACUGAACAUAGUCCUGGGCAACCUGCUCUGGGUAACUCCCAUCUGAGCAGGGUCACCAAGGGACCUUUUACCCUCAACAGUCCUAUGAGUCUUGGUAUACGCUAUGAGACCAGCCAGUCCUUCUCUGUCAAACUCAAAAAAAAAAAGCACAACAAAUAGAAGCAGCAUAGAAGCAGCAUCACCCUACCUCUGUAAGGCAUUCAGAAAUGCUGAACCCACUCCAUCCUGGAAUCCUCACCAGAUUCGUGAGCAUCAAAAUAUGCACAGGCAGAAAAUAUCUAUCUAGAUGCUUAGCUUAUGACAGAAUACUUUAUAUUCAGAAGUCUUCAUAUCACCUGCAAGUUAGGACCAAGAAAAAUAAAGGAGAAGAAGGGACUAGAUCUCUCCUAACAGUAGAAGAACUCUCCAUACUUAAGACUGGGAAAAGAAGAACACAGACACAGGAAUCUAAAGAAAUACUGGCAGAACAGUGUCUACAGAUUCUGCCAGAAGCUGGCUAAGAGGAAGGAGGACACAAGGAAGCAAAUGUAGGCCUGAUGGUCAUUAGAGGUCACUCUCCUUGCCUCACUUUACUCCAGUCUUCCAUGACAUACUUUCCCAACCGCUAACAAAUUUUUAAAUGUUUUGCAGAUGGAAAAGACUAGUUAUUUGUUUAUUGUUUGUAAAUUGGACCUUUUAAAAGGAUUUUAAAAAAAAGGGAAAAAAUAAAAAAAAAAAAAAAGAAACUUAGCA